UAUAAAUUAGGAUGAGAUCCCCUCUUUUCCCAAUUAAUAGAUAAGUUAUUGUAGAUUAGAUGUUUGCUCAUUAAAAUUUAAAUAAUUUGGCGGUAUUUUAAAUAGUCAGAGGAAUUUGUUAAGUAAAUGAUAGUCCACGAUAGGCAGAUCCUAGUGAAGUUUUUAUAUAUUGUUGUUUAAAUAUUAAUUUAAGAGAAGGUUAAUAAAGAUUUAGGAUUAUAGGGAAAUUCAAAUCAAAAUGUAGGAUUAUUAGGGUAUUAAUGAAUUACAAUUUAAUUUAAUAUUAGAGUUAAGUUUAAAUAUAUUAAUGAAAGAGGAUUUGAGAGUAAGGUGAUAUAAAUUAUGUGAUUUGAAUGAAUUUUAAAAUAUGUACAAAUUGCCCCGCAUUUUCAAUA
rnacentral:rRNA from 1 species